rnacentral:lncRNA from 1 species
GAAUGGUAUCAGAGUUUAGGUUAUGAUUAUUUGGGGAUUAUGAUAUAAGUGAUUUGGAUAUGACAAAAUGAUAUCAGAGCAUAAGAAGAUCAAAAUGUUACUGUUCUUCGAAAAUUUUUUUUUGAGAAAUCCAUAUAGAAAGAAUGAGUUUAAGAUUUCAAAAGAUUUUGUCAUAGCAAGAUCAUGAGAAAUAAAUAAUAUGUAAGACAUUAUCAUAAGCGUAAGAAUG